UCCAGCUUAUCGCCGGCAGUUUCUGUAGAGUGCUUCACACCUUACGGCAUGAGUGGCAACUACAGACGUGGGUUGCGCUCGUUGCGGGACUUAACCCAACACUUCACAGCACGAGCUGACGACAGCCAUGCACCACCUGUGUAAACUCUCGACUUAACGAGUCCAUCCCCUUUCGGUUCAGUACUUCUUACAUGUCAAGCCCAGGAUAAGGUUCUUCGCGUAGCGUCGAAUUGAACCACAUGUUCCACCGCUUGUGCGGGCCCCCGUCAAUUCCUUUGAGUUUCAUCCUUGCGGACGUACUCCCCAGGUGGAGAACUUAAUGGGUUACCUGCGGCACCGAUCGGUAUCCCGACCGACACCUAGUUCUCAUCGUUUACAGCGUGGACUAC
rnacentral:misc_RNA from 1 species